AUUGAACGCUGGCGGCAGGCUUAACACAUGCAAGUCGAGCGAGCGGCGGACGGGUGAGUAAUGUCUGGGAAACUGCCCGAUGGAGGGGGAUAACUACUGGAAACGGUCUCUAAUACCGCAUACACUCAGCUGUACACAGAUGGGCUUAGCUAGUAGGUGGGGUAAUGGCUCACCUAGGCGACGAUCCCUAGCUGGUCUGAGAGGAUGACCAGCCACACUGGAACUGAGACACGGUCCAGAUUCCGACGGGAGGCAGCAGUGGGGAAUAUUGCACAAUGGGCGCAAGCCUGAUGCAGCCAUGCCGCGUGUGUGAAGAAGGCCUUCGGGUUGUAAAGCACUUUCAGCGAGGAGGCGUUACUCGCAGAAGAAGCACCGGCUAACUCCGUGCCAGCAGCCGCGGUAAUUC
rnacentral:rRNA from 1 species